GAACGAACGCUGGCGGCAGGCCUAACACAUGCAAGUCGAACGAGAUCUUCGGAUCUAGUGGCGGACGGGUGAGUAACGCGUGGGAACGUGCCCUUCUCUACGGAAUAGUCCUGGGAAACUGGGUUUAAUACCGGUAUACGCCCUUCGGGGGAAAGAAUUUCGGGGAAGGAUCGGCCCGCGUCGGAUUAGGUAGUUGGUAGGGGUAAGUCGGCCUACCAAGCCGACGAUCCAUAGCUGGUUUGAGAGGAUGAUCAGCAACACUGGGACUGAGACACGGCCCAGACUCUACGGGAGGCAGCAGUGGGGAAUCUUGGACAAUGGGGGCAACCCUGAUCCAGCCAUGCCGCGUGAGUGAUGAAGGCCCUAGGGCUAAAAGCUCUUUCGCCAGAGAUGAUAAUGACAGUAU
rnacentral:rRNA from 1 species